rnacentral:rRNA from 1 species
CUACGGGCCGCUGCAGUCAAGAAUCUUCCUCAAUGGCCGAAAGGCUGAAGGAGCGACGCCGCGUGCAUGAAGAAGCCCUUCGGGGUGUAAAGUGCUUUUAUUAGGGACGAAUCAAUGACGGCACCUAAUGAAUAAGGGGCUGCUAACCUCGUGCCAGCAGCAGCGGUAAUACGAGGGCCCCAAGCGUUAUCCGGAUUUAUUGGGCGUAAAGGGUCCGUAGGCGGUUUAUCGCAUCUCCUGUUAAAUCUCAAGGCUUAACCUUGAGGCCGCGGGAGAGAUGGAUAAACUAGAGACCGGAAGAGGCAAGCGGAAUUGCUGGUGUAGGGGUUAAAUCCGUUAAUAUCAGCAGGAACACCAAAUGCGAAGGCAGCUUGCUAGAACGGUUCUGACGCUCAGGGACGAAAGCGUGGGGAGCGAAUGGGAUUAGAUACCCCGGUAGUC